rfam:Agrilus planipennis Contig51116, whole genome shotgun sequence.
AGGGGGAGAGGUUUUAGUCAGUAGGCGUCCUCCGGGACGAAUCUGACACUACCCGGUCUCUCGAGCGGCCGGGUGUCUUUUGAAGAUUUCCUCUCCUCC